GAAAGAAAAAAAAAAAAAGCAAAAGUUCUACAUACGACCUGCAAAGUUGCAACUUCAACCUCCAUGAAACACUGAUUUUAUGGAUAUUUGUAUGUGAUUUUCGCCUUUUCACCAAAAAAAAAAACAAAACCUCCAUGAAACUAUGUUUGCACCCAAAAAAAAAAUUUAACAGAACUCCCUUGUUAUCGUUGAUAUUCCUUCUCUUUUGGGCUAAAUUUAACGUGUAUCUCCAAUUUUGAAAUUCCCAAAUAUCUGCAAUCUUAAUUUACCUCAUUAAUACUUCAUAUAAUAAGGAAUCAAUCAUCCCAAAAUGGGUCAAAGUCAAACAAAGACGAAGAAGAUGAUGAUCAAGAACUAGAGGAAGUCACCCAGAACAGAACAGCCAAGAUUCAAGAGUAAGGAACGAUCUGCACCCACUUUGUUUUUUCAUGCCUACUACAUGUUUGUUAAAAUGCCCAAAAGAAUAGAUUAAUUCAAAAGCUAAGUCUCAUCAUAUAUGUUUACUUUGUUCUAUGUAGUUAUUUAUGAAGUUUAGCGUUGGUUUUGGAGAAGGUGAUCAAAAUUUGUCAAACAUCUAGGAAUUGCUUAGGAAAGAUAAUUAGUCCGAGAACCAACCCCUACUAGGUAACUAGCAAUGGGCAAUGCCCUGGAAUUCGGGGUGGUACUCCAUUGAGCUACCACCUCUUCCAACAUCUGAGAAUUGCUAAUUAUCAAUUUGUUAACCCGUUUUUCAUAAGCUAAGCUUACAGAUAUAGAUGGGUCAAACUCAAACAAAGUACAUUAAGAAGAUAAAGAAUAAGAGAAGGGCAAAAUUCGACUGCAAGGAGGAAUAUUUUAUUAAGAAUGGAGGUAUUUUGCUAGAGAAACAAAUUGCUCUGAGCCAAGGACAGCAUAAAGGAGCAGGGCAGUUGAAAAUUUUCUCGAGCCAGGAUAUUGCAAAGGCUACGAACAACUAUGACCCUGAUCUCAUUGUUGGAACUAGUGCUUACGGUACUGUCUAUAAGACAACCAUUGAUGAUCGUAUGGUAGUCGUCAAAGCCUUGUUAGAGCGAGAGCCAAAUCCUGAACAGAUUGAUCUCUUUUUAACUGAAGCCUCAACGGUGAUGGUUAUGAAUCAUGACAAUAUGGUAAAAUUCUAUGGCUGUUGCCUUGAGACAUGUAUACCAAUACUAGUGUAUGAGUACUUAUCAAAUGCCGACCUUUUUGAGAGGUUACAUGGUGAUGUUAUAAAGUGGGCUGAUCGUUUGAGAGUUGCAACUGAUAUAGCCUAUGCGCUAUCUUAUAUGCAUAAUGCCUUAUCAAAGCCAGUGGUGCACAGGCAUGUUAACUCAAUGGGUAUAAUCCUUGAUUAUUCAUUCAAUGGAAAAUUAGCAGACUUUUUGUAUUCAGUGUCCAUAACUCCGGGGGAGACUCCUGCAACUAGAUGGCCUGUUGAAGGAACUCCAGGAUAUAUUGAUCCCGAAUACAUAGAAACACAAGAGGUGACAGAAAAGUGUGAUGUGUAUAGUUUUGGGGUUUUGAUGUUGGAACUAUUAACUAGAAAGCAGCCCCUUAUGAUGGCCAGAGGUGGGAUAGACUUGGUUGACGUGUUUGUUUCAGCCGUGCAGAAAAAUUGCAUGAUGGAGAUGGUUGACACGGUGGUCUUAGAGCAAGCCACCAUGAACGAGAUUAGACAGUUUGUACAACUUGCAUUGAUGUGUGUGGCAAAAAAAGGAACUGAGAGACCGACUAUGGUUGAUGUAGUUGGUGAGCUUUGGAAGAUACAAGGUCGAGACAAGAAGUGAAUUGAAAAUUGUACUUAGCAUGUUGAACUUGAAGCUUAGAAAGCAAGAUUCAUAAGAGCAAGACGCAGAGCAGAAUACAACAUGCAACUAAUAUGUUAGCGAGUAAGUUAUAAAUACCAAAAAUUUGAGUACUGGAGCUUUCUUUUUGUUUAUGCAGUUUUAUGAUCUAUGUAAAAAAACAUGAAGAAGGUUUACUAAAAGUUAAUUAAUAGUCCAUUUGGUAGCCAACAAUAGAUGGUGGGAAUGGUAAUGAGUUCAUGUGUAGUUUUGUAAAGAAAAUUUGGCGACUCAUGCCAAUUCCCAUGGCAAUAGAACUCAUCCCAUGUGUUCUUUUACUUCACAAAUUUCCAUUACCAAACUGGUUGUAACUUUUGUGUAUCUAGACUAUACUUUGGCUAUGGACAAAACAGUAGUUCAGGAUCCUUCUUGAAUCAUAUCUUUAAAGUCUGGUAAUAGUAUUUCCUAUGCAUUCAUUUUCUGCUUCGAGCUUUUCUAUAUUGAGCUAAAUAUGCCCUGUAGUUGAGUAGUAUUAGUAGAGGUUCUUGAAAAUAAUGAACCUUAAGAAUCAGGUGUCAAUUUCUGCCUAUUGUUGUUUUCUUUUCUUUUUUCUAAAUAUCAAAUGGGGUUGUUAAUAUUGCUUGAUGCUUUUGCUUCCAUUGCUUUAUUCUUGAAAUCUCAUCUGCUCCAAUAUUAGUUAAUCUCAUCUGUCAACGUUGGUGGUGGUAUUUGUCACUGGAAACAGCUAUAAAGAGAACAUGUUUAGGAGUGAGAUGACUCAGUGUGUGGAGCUGGAUUUACAAAUUACUUCCUUAUCACAUGUUCAGUCUUGAAUUGUUCUUUAUUUAGUCUCAUAUGGCAGCUAACUUCCAUGGAAUUGGGUUUAAUACUUAAGGGCUAAGGCUGAUCAGGUUUGCAUUCGUAGUUCAGAUACACUAGUAGUAGUUGUACAGAACAGUACAGCACAGCAAAUUUAUCUCAGUCGACAUGACCACUAUGAUGCUUCGUCCAAGCCAAAGCUAGACCGACCGAACCUUGCCUCCUCCAGGGACAAACAAACAAACCAUUAUGCAUGAACUUUCAAACACAAUUUAAUGCCGGUGAAUUUGUGUGGGCUAAACUCAUGCUAUGUGGCUGUUUAAAUCACUCUUUGAUUUUUCAGCAUGAGAAUUUCCUAGUAGGAAUAAAAACUGUCUAUCUACUGUAGUUUUUUUAUUGACUCUUUUCUGUUUUCUAGUGGGUGCAUUACUUUCUGCAUAACUGUAGUAUUCUCUGAUUCAUACUUAACUAACUUUAUAGUGUGUACUUAUUUUGAUAGUUCUAUUAUACCCUUCACCUAAUGAAUGUUAGGACUUGGUAUGUUUUCACAAUUUUUACAUAUAAAUUUUGGUUGUUAGUGGUCCCUGGUCAUUAAUAUUUAUUUUGGUGGAAAUUUUUUCACAUGUAAUCUCUUGUAUGUGACAAGUCUAUUGCUGUCUUUCAUUUGUUAAAUUUCUCCAUUUACCAUGUUUCCCUGAUGUCUUGUUGACAACAAUCUUGACUAAGGUAGGUCUUACUACAAUAAUUAUCUUUCUUGAAGAACGAUCUCACUGAUCAGCAACAACCUGUUACUCGACUUGCCGGAGAGCAGACAGAAUUUCCAGAACAGUUCAGUCAAUUAUACCGGCUGAGCAACCAAUUGGCCCAAAACAAAACCUUUCACCCUUAUAUAGAUGGGUCAAGUUCAAACAAAAAAUAAGAUCAAGAUCAAGAGCAAGAGCAAGAGCAAGAGCAAGAACAGGAGAAAAUCGAAGUUUGAUUCCAGGGAAGAAUACUUCGUUAGAAAUGGAGGUAUUUUGUUGGAAAAACAAAUUGCUCUGAGCCAAGGUCGAGAUGUAGGAGCUAGCCAGCUGAAAAUUUUAACAUGUAAGGAUAUCGAAAAGGCUACAAACAACCUCGAUCCCGACCUUCUUCUUGGCAGUGAUGCUCAGGAAAAGGCCUAUCGAGCAAUUAUUGAGGAUCGUAAUGUAUUCAUUAAAGUUCCAUCGCAGCCAGAGCGAAAUUCCCAACUGAUUGAUCGCAAUUUAACUGAAGCCGCAGCUGUGAUGGUGAUGAAUCAUGACAAUAUGAUAAAACUCUAUGGUUGUUGCCUUGAUACUUUUAUACCAAUACUAGUGUAUGAAUUCUUGCCAAACGGAUGCCUUUUCCUACAUUUACACGGUUAUGAUGCGCCUCGCAAGCGUAUAAAGUGGGCUGAUCGUUUGAGGGUUGCUACUGACAUAGCCGACGCACUAUCUUAUAUGCAUAAUGCCUUGUCGAAGCCAGUGGUACAUAGAGAUGUCAACUCAUCAAGUAUUUUUAUCGAUUACUCCUCCUUCCGUGGAAAAUUAGCAAACUUUGGUUAUUCCGUGUCUAUUACUCCAGGGAAGACUCCCAAAAAAUGGCCUGUUCAAGGAACUCUGGGAUAUAUUGAUCCUGAAUACGUUGAAACUCAAGAGGUGACAGAGAAGUGUGAUGUUUAUAGUUUCGGAGUUUUGGUGUUGGAGCUAUUAACCAGAAGACAGCCCCUUAUGAUGGCAAAACAUGGGACAGACUUGGUUGACAUGUUUGUUUCAGCUGUAAAGCAGAAUUGCAUGAUAGAGAUGUUUGAUAUUGAGGUACUGGAACAAGCAACUCGGGAUGAGAUUCAACGGGUUACACAGCUUGCAUUGGCAUGUGUGGCAAAGAAAGGGACUGAGAGACCGACUAUGAUUGAUAUCGUUAGUGAGCUCUGGAACAUACAAGGCCGAGACAAGAAAUGAUGUGGAAAUCGUAAUGCUUCUCGUGUCUGGUUCAAGCUCAGAAAGAAAGACCCAGAAGUGCAAGGCACAUAGCAAAAUACAACAAACAGGUUACAAAUUAGUUUGAGUAUCAAGAAUUGUCUUCUUAGCCAAUGUUAAUUUGAUAAGACAUACAUAAAUGAUAUGUAUUUACUAUAGGUGUAAGACUGUAUUUGGCAUAGGUGUAAGACUCUACAUGAAAAAAGAACUUUUUUUUAGAAAUAAGUAAGAAAAAUAUUUGAUUCUGGAUAUCUGAUUAACUUCAUCAGCUCCAUUCUGAAUUACUUAAUUGGCAUUGAAGUUCCAUGGAGCUGGGUUGUUUCUUCUUGACAGAGGUGUGUGUGAUAGUGCAGAUCAAUAAAUCACUGAAAAUCUAUCUCAGAAGUUAAGACCACAAGACCAUUAUCUAUUCUGAUGGCUGGCUGUGGUGGGCUAUAGUUUUUCUGGUGGUAGAAGUGUAGAACUACUAGCAAUAUCACAUGUCUUGUAGGUGCAAAGAUCAGAGCUAACUACUUCCUCAGUUUCAAAAUACUCGCUACACUUUUCAUUACGGAAGUUUCACAUUACUUGCUACACUUCUUUUUUGGGCAAUAAACUCUCUCUAUCUCUCUCCUCCUACAUGAGACCCUUUUCUUUUUACUCUCUACCUCUCUCUUCUCCAAAAAUUGUCUAGGAGUCCGUGAAUUGAGAAGUGUAGCAAGUAAUAUAAAACGGAAGAAGUAGUAACUAGCUAAGAACAACUAGGAAAAUAGUUGAAUAAGGGGUAAAUUAUAACUCCAAAUUAAUGUUUCAUCUUGUGCCAUACUCUCUUCUAGUUUUGUCACCUCAUCAAUCUAAAGUCUACUACAGUAGGUGGUAGAUGGGAGCUCCCUGAUUUUUUUUAUACCCACUUUCGUUUUUAGAUUGUUCCUUAUUAGUUUAACUUUUUUUUCCAGUUUCUAGAAUGACCCCACUAAUUGUGUAGAUCGAGAAUCAAAAAAAUAAAGAAAGGAAAAGAGAAUGGAUCACCAGAAUAGUGUUGGGUUAGAGUGAAAUAAAAUAGACUUGUUAGAAAAAAUUCAGUAUUAAAUUUGUCUAAUUUACGUUAAAAUUCAACCGCCUAUUCUAAUAAUUUGUGAAAGAGACAUAUCAUCAUCUUUUAAGUAAUUUCAUUAGAAGGUAGAUACAAAGAGGGUGACACAUGAGAGUUCCCAAAACUUUUUUUCUUAUCUAAAAAACAAAAAAAAUCCAAAAGGUCAAUAAAAUUGUACUCCCAUUUGGUGACAAUUUCUAAUCAAUUUUAAAAAAAAGUAACCCAAAGUUUGAAUCUUUUAAAGAGAUGAGUGAGUGAGAGAUUCAUAGUUGGUGACAUAUUCGAUCAUUUUACCUCUCUGUGUAGUACAGGAGUACAGGGUAUUUCGAAACGUCUUUCCGCCGUCUAUAUUAGACGUUUCAAAGCCUGAAACUUGAAUUCUAGUAAAGCGAAACGGUGGAGGUGAACAAUUUUGUGUUUCAUACUCACUUAUUCCGCUCAAAACAAAGUGUUCAAGUGUCUCAGGCUCUCAGCCAUGUCCGAGUGUCGAGGAUCUGACACGAGUACUUGAGGUGAAAUGAAGAGUCCGAGCAAAAUAGAUUGGGAAUAAUGUCACAUAUCUGUCUAUUGUGCUAAACAAAACUUGCUCCUUUGGCGAUAUUUUGUGCUAGGUUCAGCAAAAAAUAUAGUCCAAAACAAGGCCCUAAUAGAUGGAUCAAGCUCAAAGAAGAAACAAGAUGGAAAAUAAGAAUCAUAGAAAGCCGAAGUUUGAUCCGAGGAAGGAGUAUUUCUUUAAGAAUGGAGGUAUUUUGCUGGAAAAACAACUGGCUUUGAGCCAAGGCCUAGAUAUAGGACCAGGGCAGCUGAAAGUUUUCUCACACAAGGAUGUCAGGAAGGCUACGAACCAGUUUGAUCCUGAUCUUCUGGUAGGCAGUAGUACUCAUAGAAACGUCUACAAAGCAACCAUUGGAGAUCGUGAAGUAGUUGUUGGAGUCCCAUUACAGCGAGAGCCAAAUCCUACUAUGAUUGAUCGCAACUUAACUGAAGCCUCGAUUGCAAUAGUUAUGAGUCAUGACAAUAUGGUUAAACUCUAUGGUUGUUGCCUCGAGACUUGCGUACCGAUGCUUAUGUAUGAAGUGUUACCAAAUGGAAACCUCUCUGAGCACUUACAUGGUGACAUUGCAUCUAGCAGUCGUAUAAAGUGGGCUGAUCGUUUGAGGGUUGCCACCGAUACAGCAUAUGCGCUAUCUUAUAUGCAUAAUGCCUUGCGAAAGCCAGUAGUGCACAGGGGAGUUCACUCUUUAAGUGUACUUCUUGAUAAUUUGUUCCAUGCCAAGUUAGCAAACUUUGGCUACUCAGUGUCCAUUACUCCAGGGGAUACUUCCCAAAGAUGGCCUGUUCAAGGAACUCCAGGAUAUGUUGAUCCCGAGUAUAUCCAAACUCAAGUUUUGACAGAUAAGUGUGAUGUAUAUAGCUUUGGGGUUUUGAUGCUGGAGUUGUUAACUGGGAGGAAUCCCAUUAGGAUGCUUAGAGGUGGGAGAGACUUGGUUGAUGUGUUUGUUUCAGCUGUGGAGAAAAAUGACAUGAUAAAGAUGAUAGAUAGCGAGGUCUUGGAGCAAGCAAGUAGGCAUGAGAUUCAACAGUUUGCACAGAUUGCAUUGACAUGUGUGGCAAAGAAAGGGGCUGAGAGACCAACUAUGAUUGAAAUCGUUGUGCAGCUUCGGCAGAUGCGAGCUCAAUUGAAUAUACCUCAGUUAAUGAAACACAAGUAACAUCUAUGUAUCCAGGGUAAGAAUGGGUAGUUAUAGAGUUUGGUUACUAUUCUUUUCCUGUCAUUUUUUUUUUCAAGGGAUGAAGAUUGUGGUAGAUAUCCUCCCUGAUGUGUUUUUUCAUAUAUUGAUGUGUUAGAGGCUGACUGAUAUCUACUGAUGUCUGCAGUAUCAUAGUUAAUUUUAAUGAUAGAAUGUCAUUUAACAAAUCAAUAAUGAUAUGUUGUUUUGGCUUGGCAAGAGUUGAUUAUCACACUCUUAUUAGGCUAUGUUUGUUGCUAUU